rnacentral:tRNA from 1 species
GUAGCUCAGCGGUAGAGCAUUGGACUUUUAAUCCAAUGGCCGUGGGUUCGAUUCCAAAUC